AGAGAUGUGUGAUGACGCAUAUCAAUAAGCGGAGGAAAAGAAACUAACAAGGAUUCCCUUAGUAACGGCGAGUGAAGCGGGAAGAGCUCAAAUUUGAAAUCUUCAAGGUUCUACCUUGACGAAUUGUAGUUUAUAGAAGUGUUUUCUGUUAGUAGAGUGGCAAAAGUUCUUUGGAAUAGGACAUCAUAGAGGGUGAGAAUCCCGUAUUUGGUCAUUCUUUCUAGCUUUGUGAUACACUUUCAACGAGUCGGAUUGUUUGGGAAUGCAGUCCAAAAUGGGUGGUAAAUUUCAUCUAAAGCUAAAUAUUGGCGAGAGACCGAUAGCGAACAAGUACCGUGAGGGAAAGAUGAAAAGAACUUUGAAAAGAGAGUUAAACAGUACGUGAAAUUGUCAAAAGGGAAGCGUUUGACACCAGUGUUGUUUUUCCGAAAAUCAAUUACGAAUGUUUUAUUUUUGAGAAGUUAUGACUUCAUCGGCUUGCUUCUCUCUUUAUGAAACUUUCUUAAUGCACUUUUCGGUUAACAAGUCAACAUCAAUUUCUUUUGUUGUAAAAGGGUAUGAGGAAGGUGGCUUUCUUUUCGGAGAAAGUGUUUAUAGCCUUGUACCUCUGCAAUCGGAGAGAUUGAGGUCUGCAGCGUAGAUCCUUCGGGGUUAGAUACAUUUGUGCUAAGUUAUAGCUUUUCAUAGACAACUUGUUGACUAUGUUUAGUCUUGUAGCUUACUCGCUUAUGCUAUUUUACCUACGCUUAGGAUGUUGAAGAUGUAGCACAUCAU
rnacentral:rRNA from 1 species